rnacentral:rRNA from 1 species
AUUGAACGCUGGCGGCAGGCCUAACACAUGCAAGUCGAGCGGAAACGAGUUAACUGAACCUUCGGGGAACGUUAACGGCGUCGAGCGGCGGACGGGUGAGUAAUGCCUGGGAAAUUGCCCUGAUGUGGGGGAUAACCAUUGGAAACGAUGGCUAAUACCGCAUAAUAGCUUCGGCUCAAAGAGGGGGACCUUCGGGCCUCUCGCGUCAGGAUAUGCCCAGGUGGGAUUAGCUAGUUGGUGAGGUAAGGGCUCACCAAGGCGACGAUCCCUAGCUGGUCUGAGAGGAUGAUCAGCCACACUGGAACUGAGACACGGUCCAGACUCCUACGGGAGGCAGCAGUGGGGAAUAUUGCACAAUGGGCGCAAGCCUGAUGCAGCCAUGCCGCGUGUAUGAAGAAGGCCUUCGGGUUGUAAAGUACUUUCAGCAGUGAGGAAGGYGGWGUCGUUAAUAGCGGCMUCRUUUGACGUUAGCUGCAGAAGAAGCACCG